CCUGAUGACCAUAGCGCGGUGGCCCCACCCCUUCCCAUCCCGAACAGGACCGUGAAACGCCGUAGCGCCGAUGAUAGUGAGCAUCCUCGCUCGUGAAAGUAGGACAUCGUCAGGC
rnacentral:rRNA from 1 species